CACAUACUCCCUCUGUCCCAUAUCAAUUGUCGCUCAAACGGAUGUAUCUAGCACUGAUAUACGGCUAGAUACAUCCGUUUGAACGACAAUUAAUAUAGGACGGAGAGAGUAUUGU
rfam:Triticum urartu cultivar G1812 contig722503, whole genome shotgun sequence.